rnacentral:rRNA from 1 species
GACGAACGCUGGCGGCGUGCUUAACACAUGCAAGUCGAACGGAAAGGCCCUGCUUUUGUGGGGUGCUCGAGUGGCGAACGGGUGAGUAACACGAGAGUAACCUGCCCUUGACUUUGGGAUAACUUCAGGAAACUGGGGCUAAUCCCGGAUAGGAGCUCCUGCUGCAUGGUGGGGGUUGGAAAGUUUCGGCGGUUGGGGCUGGACUCGCGGCUUGUCAGCUUGUUGGUGGGGUAGUGGCUUACCAAGGCUUUGACGGGUAGCCGGCCUGAGAGGGUGACCGGCCACAUUGGGACUGAUAUACGGCCCAGACGCCUACGGGAGGCAGCAGUGGGGAAUAGUGCACUAUGGGCGGAAGCCGGAUGCAGCAACGCCGCGUGCGGGAUGACGGCCUUCGGGUUGUAAACCGCGUUCGCCUGGGACGAAGCGUGAGUGACGGUAAUGGGUAAAGAAGCACCGGCUAACUACGUG